AAAAAAGGCUUUAUGAAGAAAGCACUUUAAGCUUUUCCAAUGAUUUAAGAUGAUACCGGGGAAGGUUUUCCGGUUUAUCCCGGAGGGCUUGUAGCUCAGUUGGUUAGAGCGCGCGCUUGAUAAGCGUGAGGUYGGAGGUUCAAGUCCUCCCAGGCCCACCAAUUUAUGCUCGUUUUUUACUUAUCCUGAGAGUUAUGAAGCUUAAGCGUAUCAAAGCCUCUUUAAUCUUUGUUCAUCGUUUAAAGAUUUAAUUUUAUCCUGCAAAAAUUGUUUGUUAAAUUUAUCUCAUUAUGUUUAUCAAAUAGUGUYUUUGUCAAAAAGGAUUUUAACUUCCCUGUAAGGUACAGAUGAAUUAAAAGGAUGAAAAUCAAAAAAUGAUGCAAAUCAAAAGAGUGCCAAUUUAAAGCGUACAAAUUUAAAGAGUGCAGGUUAUUCAAGUUGAUAAAUUUUUUGAGGUUGAUUUGAGAGAGC
rnacentral:misc_RNA from 1 species